GCGAAAGCAGGUCAUAGUGAUCCGGUGGUUCUGAAUGGAAGGGCCAUCGCUCAACGGAUAAAAGGUACUCCGGGGAUAACAGGCUGAUACCGCCCAAGAGUUCAUAUCGACGGCGGUGUUUGGCACCUCGAUGUCGGCUCAUCACAUCCUGGGGCUGAAGUAGGUCCCAAGGGUAUGGCUGUUCGCCAUUUAAAGUGGUACGCGAGCUGGGUUUAGAACGUCGUGAGACAGUUCGGUCCCUAUCUGCCGUGGGCGCUGGAGAACUGAGGGGGGCUGCUCCUAGUACGAGAGGACCGGAGUGGACGCAUCACUGGUGUUCGGGUUGUCAUGCCAAUGGCACUGCCCGGUAGCUAAAUGCGGAAGAGAUAAGUGCUGAAAGCAUCUAAGCACGAAACUUGCCCCGAGAUGAGUUCUCCCUGACUCCUUGAGGGUCCUGAAGGAACGUUGAAGACGACGACGUUGAUAGGCCGGGUGUGUAAGCGCAGCGAUGCGUUGAGCUAACCGGUACUAAUGAACCGUGAGGCUUAACCUUACAACGCCGAAG
rnacentral:rRNA from 1 species